rnacentral:rRNA from 1 species
UACGUAGGGGCCUAGCGUUGUCCGGAUUUAUUGGGCGUAAAGAGCUCGUAGGCGGUUCGGCAAGUCGGAUGUGAAAUCUCCACGCUUAACGUGGAGGGGCCAUUCGAAACUGCCGUGACUCGAGUCCGGUAGGGGAGUGUGGAAUUCCCGGUGUAGCGGUGAAAUGCGCAGAUAUCGGGAGGAACACCAGUAGCGAAGGCGGCACUCUGGGCCGGUAUUGACGCUGAGGCGCGAAAGCCAGGGGAGCAAACGGG